rnacentral:misc_RNA from 1 species
GAUGAAGAACGCAGCGAAACGCGAAAGGUAAUGCGAAUUGCAGAAUCAGUGAGUCAUCGAAUCUUAAAACGCACAUUGCGCCUCUAGGUAUUCCUGGAGGCACGCCUGUUCGAGCGCCAUUACACACUCCAAGCUCUGCUUGAUGUUGGACGACCCGAGAGAUCGGACGUCUGGAACGUGUGGGCGUCGGGCGUCGGACCACGAGCGUAGCAAGACCAUCAAACAGUCAAGUCGUUCUGUGGAGCCGGCGGUCGACCGCCUCUUUUUACAACUUUAACCACAAGUUUGGCCUCGGAUCAGGCGGGGAUACCCGCUGAACUUAAGCAUAUCAAUAAGCGGAGGA